rnacentral:misc_RNA from 1 species
AACGCAUAUUGCGCUCGAGGCUUCGGCCAAGAGCAUGUCUGCCUCAGCGUCGGCAUAUCUCCUCACUCCCACAACUUGUGGAAGUGGAACUGGCAGUCUUAGUAGCUUUUGUUACUAGGUCUGCUGAAGAGCAGAGGCUUGAACAUGGACCCAAUAAGGGUAACAACUAGGUAGGCAUGUCUUCGGACUGCAUGGAUCUUAGUUGGUGCCUGGGACGUGUUGGAGGCCAAGCAGGAUCCGAUUUAUCGGAACUUACUUUUCGACCUGAGCUCAGGCAAGGCUACCCGCUGAACUUAA